rnacentral:rRNA from 1 species
UACGUAGGGUGCGAGCGUUGUCCGGAAUUAUUGGGCGUAAAGAGCUUGUAGGCGGUUUGUCGCGUCUGCUGUGAAAUUUCGGGGCUCAACCCCGAACUUGCAGUGGGUACGGGCAGACUAGAGUGUGGUAGGGGAGACUGGAAUUCCUGGUGUAGCGGUGAAAUGCGCAGAUAUCAGGAGGAACACCGAUGGCGAAGGCAGGUCUCUGGGCCACUACUGACGCUGGAGAAGCGGAAAAGCAUGGGGAGCGAACAGG